rnacentral:rRNA from 1 species
CCUACGGGCGGCAGCAGUGAGGAAUAUUGGUCAAUGGACGAGAGUCUGAACCAGCCAAGUAGCGUGAAGGAUGACUGCCCUAUGGGUUGUAAACUUCUUUUAUAAAGGAAUAAAACGAGGCACGUGUGCCUUUUUGCAUGUACUUUAUGAAUAAGGAUCGGCUAACUCCGUGCCAGCAGCCGCGGUAAUACGGAGGAUCCGAGCGUUAUCCGGAUUUAUUGGGUUUAAAGGGAGCGUAGAUGGGUUGUUAAGUCAGUUGUGAAAGUUUGCGGCUCAACCGUAAAAUUGCAAUUGAUACUGGCAGUCUUGAGUACAGUUGAGGUAAGCGGAAUUCGUGGUGUAGCGGUGAAAUGCUUAGAUAUCACGAAGAACCCCGAUUGCGAAGGCAGCUUACUAAACUGUGACUGACGCUGAUGCUCGAAAGCGCGGGUAUCGAACAGGAUUAGAUACCCCUGUAGUC